ACAUGCCUACAUCAUAGCAUUAAUGCACCAGAUCCCAUUAGAACUUCGCAAUUAAUCACGCUUAGGCUAGAGUAGUACUAGGAUGGGUGACCACCCGGGAAGUCCUAAUGUUUUACAUACC
rnacentral:rRNA from 1 species